GAAUUGACGAGCAGUUGAAGAUCAUGGAAAGGGAAAACUCAAUUUCUGCACGCUGGCAAAAUACUGACUCAGAAUGGUCAAGCGUUGGCAUCCAGACUUUCGAAGCAAAUUACUCGAGUAACAAAGGAUGUCAAUAAAGAUAUCGCAGCUUAUAA